UACGGGGGGGGCAAGCGUUGUUCGGAAUUACUGGGCGUAAAGGGCUCGUAGGCGGCCACCUAAGUCAGACGUGAAAUCCCUCGGCUUAACCGGGGAACUGCGUCUGAUACUGGAUGGCUUGAGAUUGGGAGAGGGAUGCGGAAUUCCAGGUGUAGCGGUGAAAUGCGUAGAUAUCUGGAGGAACACCGGUGGCGAAGGCGGCAUCCUGGACCAACACUGACGCUGAGGAGCGAAAGCCAGGGGAGCAAACGGG
rnacentral:rRNA from 1 species